AUGGGAGAUAGAGUCCAGAGACAACUACUGACUUCCUACAAAGAGGAGCUGGUCAGAGCUGCACAGAGUACUCCUGUGUUUCAGAGACCUACAGUGGUGCAGACCAAUGAGGUGGAGGAGAGGGAGCGCUACAGAUACCAGUGGAGGAAGGAGGACAGGCAGAGAAUCGUCGGUGACAGAUUGGAGCUCUUCGUCGCCAUAGUGACAGGGUUGUUAAUGGGGGUUCUGACAGGUGGUUUUGGAGGUGUUGUCAUGGGAGGGUUGACAGGGGCGGUGAUAUGGUUUACAACAGGACUGGUUAGGAACUGGUGGAGCCCCUGAUUCACUGGGAGACACCAUGUGUAGGCUAUGGAUCUACUUAUAUAAAGACAUUUGGAGGAUAAAACAAUUUGAACAUGUAUAGAUAGAAGGGCUUAAGUCUUGGUCUUGUUUCUUGAUGCAUUUGUCAAACUUUAAUUAUGAAUCAUUUGGAAGUGAAUAAAAGCCCAAUAAAGAGAUAAGAAACAGAGAAUAUACUGAUUAUUUUUAAAGAGAGAUGAAACCCUCAUAUUCGUCACCAGUGUUAACCUACAGUACUUCUGUUAAGUCAGUCCUGAUAUGGGUCUGAACCUGUUACUCAUAAAGGGAUUAAAACAGAGAUUCUUCCAGAAAUCUCUUUCCCUGAUUUCAUCUGACCAAGUAUUCAGAUAUCAUGUGACAGUAGUUAUGGCCAAUGAUAAGCCUCUAUCCUACACUGUAAAAUCCUUACAAAUAACAGCAACAAGAGCUAGUGACUCGAUCACCAAAUAUACAUGAUCAAUUAAUAGUUUACGUAAACAAACAGUAGGGAUCCUACUAGAACCCCGAUCCAGUGACUGUCAACCCAACACAGUUUGGCCAGGAUCACAGUCUGUAUCCAGAAAGGAGCUCAGAGUAGGAGUACUGAUCUAGGAUCUGUCCAUAUAAUCAUUAUGAUCUAAACGUCAAAAACUGAUGCUAGAUCAGAACUCCUACGAGCCCAGGUCAUUACUAAUCUCAACAAUGUUGUUAUUGCUGUCGGCUCAAUCUGUCAUGGAAUCAGUAAACCCUGCUCUCAAUCUGUCAUGGAAUCAGUAAACCCUGCUCUCAAUCUGUCAUGGAAUCAGUAAACCCUGCUCUCAAACUGUCAUGGAAUCAGUAAACCCUGCACUCAAUCUGACAUGGAAUCAGUAAACCCUGCUUUCAUUACUGUCAUGGAAUCAGUAAACCUUGCUCUCAAUCUGUCAUGGAAUCAGUAACCCUGCUCUCAAUCUGUCAUGGAAUCAGUAAACCCUGCUCUCAUUACUGUCAUGGAAUCAGUAAACCCUGCUCUCAAUCUGUCAUGGAAUCAGUAAACCCUGCUCUCAUUACUGUCAUGGAAUCAGUAAACCCUGCUCUCAUUACUGUCAUGGAAUCAGUAAACCCUGCUCUCAUUACUGUCAUGUAAUCAGUAAACCCUGCUCUCAUUACUGUCAUGGAAUCAGUAAACCCUGCUCUCAAUCUGUCAUGGAAUCAGUAAACCCUGCUCUGUCUGUCAUGGAAUCAGUAAACCCUGCUCUCAUUACUGUCAUGAAAUCAGUAAACCCUGCACUCAAAUUAACAAAAAUAUGUUGCCUAGAUUUGGUCAAAUUUACAAACGCUCAACACCCACUGAAUAUGGCCGGUGUCAGUAAACGUUGGCAAAAAAAGCAUAAUUAAAUUGUUGCCAGUUGCAGUCACCAACGCUCUGGAUAACAUGAAAACAGCCUAACAGCCUAACAGCCUCUGCUAGGGUGAGUAAACUGGUCAGAGUGAGCUGUUCUCUCAUUAUGAGUCUGGAAGUAGCUAGCAAGCUAGCCAACAUUAGCCAGUUAGCUUGACUGCUGUUGUUAGGGCAGAAUGCUCAAAUCAUCCCUACUCCUCGGCCAGUGUGGCGAGCUGAACGCUCCGAGGGCGUAACACUCUGAAUUUAUGAAGGGACAAUCUGACAACAGUCUGAGUUCACGAACGCCCAGAAAACACUGGCACUCCAGAUUAAAUGUACGAACACAACCGUAGGAUAGACCAGUCUUUAGUCUUGAAAUCUUUGUUUGUUUAGUACAUGGCCUCACAAGUGAAUCCUUAAAGAGAUGGGUGGGGCUAAAGUUUAAUAGUUGUUGUUUUUUAAGUUGUAAAAUUCAAACUAGAUAAAGUAGUAGGUUCUAAUCUGUUUGGAGAAGGGGAUUGUAAAUACAAACAGAUUGUUUUAGAUUAUUUUUACUUUUGCUUGCUGGAGACAAAUGUGAAACCAGCCAUGGAAGCAAACUGAAAACUCAAGGCUACCAA
rnacentral:lncRNA from 1 species